rnacentral:rRNA from 1 species
UACGUAGGGUGCGAGCGUUGUCCGGAAUUAUUGGGCGUAAAGAGCUCGUAGGCGGUUUGUCGCGUCUGCCGUGAAAACCCGAGGCUUAACCUCGUGGCUUGCGGUGGAUACGGGCAGACUAGAGGGUAGGUAGGGGAGAAUGGAAUUCCCGGUGUAGCGGUGAAAUGCGCAGAUAUCGGGAGGAACACCGGUGGCGAAGGCGGUUCUCUGGGCCUUACCCUGACGCUGAGGAGCGAAAGCGUGGGGGAGCGAACAGG